UAAACGACUCUCGGCAACGGAUAUCUCGGCUCACGCAUCGAUGAAGAACGUAGCAAAAUGCGAUACUUGGUGUGAAUUGCAGAAUCCCGUGAACCAUCGAGUUUUUGAACGCAAGUUGCGCCCGAAGCCAUCCGGCCGAGGGCACGUCUGCCUGGGCGUCACGC
rnacentral:rRNA from 1 species